UACAGAGGGGGCAAGCGUUGUUCGGAAUUACUGGGCGUAAAGGGCGCGUAGGCGGCCUUCUAAGUCAGACGUGAAAUCCCCGGGCUCAACCCGGGAACUGCGUCUGAUACUGGAGGGCUUGAAUCCGGGAGAGGGAUGUGGAAUUCCAGGUGUAGCGGUGAAAUGCGUAGAUAUCAGGAGGAACACCGGUGGCGAAGGCGGGUCUCUGGGCAACAACUGACGCUGAGGAGCGAAAGCGUGGGGAGCGAACAGG
rnacentral:rRNA from 1 species